CGUCUAUAUACGUAUAGCAUAUCAAUAAGCGGAGGAAAAGAAACUAACUAGGAUUCCCUCAGUAACGGCGAGUGAAGCGGGAAGAGCUCAAAUUUGAAAUCUUCAAGGUUCUACCUUGACGAAUUGUAGUUUAAAGAAGUGUUUUCUGUUGGAGUUUCGGUAAAAGUUCUUUGGAAUAGGACAUCAUAGAGGGUGAGAAUCCCGUAUUUGACCAGUUACUUUCCAGCUGUGUGAUACACUUUCAAAGAGUCGGAUUGUUUGGGAAUGCAGUCCAAAAUGGGUGGUAAAUUUCAUCUAAAGCUAAGUACUGGCGAGAGACCGAUAACGAACAAGUACCGUGAGGGAAAGAUGAAAAGAACUUUGAAAAGAGAGUUAAACAGUACGUGAAAUUGUCAAAAGGGAAGCGUUUGACACCAGUGUUGUUUUCUCGAAAAUCAAUUAAAAAUGGCGGGAUUUUGUGUUGUAUUGACUUUAUCAGCUUUCUGCACUUUUUUCUUGUCUUUUUUAAUGCACUUUUCGUUUAACAAGUCAACAUCAAUUUCUUUUGUUGUAAAAGGGUCAUUGGAAGGUGGCUUUCUUUUCGGAGAAAGUAUUUAUAGCCUUUGACUUCUGCAAUCGGAGAGAUUGAGGUCUGCAGCGUAGAUCCUUCGGGGUUAGAUGCAUUUGUGCUAAGUUAUAGCCUUUCAUAGACAACUUGUUGACUAUGAUCAGUCAUGUAGCUUACUCGCUUAUGUUAUUUUACCUACGCUUAGGAUGUUGACGAUCAGCUGAGCGCG
rnacentral:rRNA from 1 species